UCUAGUGGUAUACCAGAUAGAUAACCGUUCACUAGUUUCGAUUGUCAACCCAUUAAUUAACUGCUCUAGGCUGCAAUAGUGGAGCAAGGUGCUAUUUGUGAAAUCUGUUUAAAGUUCCAAGUCAACAUUGUUGGGGUCAAAUCCAUAUCCGGCUUGGACGCCUGGUUGCCUACCGUGUGUCUGGCCAUUAUUUUAUAAGUUCAUUUAUGUUGCGUACGGGAUCAAUCACUCUCCCCAAUAUUCCAUAUGCAAAGUCUGUAUACAGGUGCACAUUAUUCUUUUACUAUGAAAUACAACAAAUGAAUAAGCCUAUAUGUGGCUGUUUUCGCUACACGUCCACCAAGGGCCCACUUUUCACAGCUAAACUGUCUGAUAUAGUGCUCUUACAAUCCUCCAGUUUUCAAAGGAAAUACUCUUUUUCGUAUCUGAUACAACAUUUUAAGCAAGUACUUAUAUUGGAAGCAAGAACAAUUCAGCUCUGACCUUAGCCAGUUAAGAAUCUCAAUCACAGCCUCGUCGUGCACUUCAUAGUUUUAUCCAAAAAAUAAAAGAACUAUGCAAAUUGAAAGCUCUUGUACUGACUCUUUUAAGUUUCAAAAUAUGAAAUCUACCAAGCAUAAUCCAACUCUUCCUUCGUCAAACCAACAAACAGAAAAGAAUACCAUUGGUCAUAGUGUCAAACAACUCUAACAAACCCAAAAUCAGAAAAAAGAUAAACAAAAAACUCAAAUAAAAUGAGCCAAAACCGGCUUAGUGCUAGUCUUUGCUAUUUAUUAGGUUAAAUCGCAGAUCCAACCAUAACAAGGCCAUCAACCCUUAAUUAUUUUCUUUUUCUUUUUACCCUUUUUUACCUAUCUUCUAUUUUCACAUCAACCGAACAACACGUACCAGGAAUAAAAAUAAAAUAUGCAUUCCAUAGCUAGAUGAGUCUCACCAUAUGAUGGAUGUCCUGGGGCAGUCUCGAGAAGAGAAGUGUAAUCUGAAACAAACCAAAAAAAUUGUAUCAGAAUAAAAUGACAUAUCAUACAGCUUAAUAAUACUCCAAAUCCAAUCAAAACCUUAACCCUAAUCCUAAAUCCUAACCCUGAAUAUACCACAACAGGCCAUAUAUACUUGGAUUUAUUACCGCAUCCACCAUCGACGCUGGGUUUGCUUUUGUUUUCCUUCACCUUUCUGGGCAAACAAACAGAGGGAGCGUUUGAUAGUUCAAAAAUCCAAUUUAAA